GCAGAGUAUUUGGUGUUCAAGUGGAAAAUCAUUCUUUAUUUAUAAUGUUCCAUGGAAAGUAUGAUGUCACAAACAAUGGACAGAAAAUGUGACAUCUCCCAGGAAGCUUGUUUUCAGAUCGUUAUCUUCACUUCCCAUGUGGCUGCUUUCCCAGGCUUGAGCUGAUCUCCAGAAAUUUGCCCUUCUGUAAGAUGAAAUCAGCUCUGGAACUCUUACCUCCUCAGAUCAUCUCUUUCCUCAGCUACAGGACUUCAUCAAGCUUCUGUGUAUGAUGUGGAAACUGAAUCCCAUAGAAGAAAUUUUCUCCCUCCUAAAGAGUCCCCUGCUGCUGAUGUACCAGCCUUUGGAUGACCAAUAUUUGGUGUCCCCAAUGGUCAUGGGGCACCAGAUUUAUAGUAUAUUUCUAAUUGAAGAUUUAAUUAUACUUGUCUUUUAAAAAGCCUACAUUGGUGUUUAAAACAUAUAAUAAUAAUAGCAGCUACCUCUGAAGAUUGUGAGAAGGACCAAAUUUGAUAAUAAUUGAAAAGUACAUUGUGUAUAGUGGGUGCUACAGACCUGUUGACCAGGUGAUGAUCUUGUGCCCUUCCCAGAUCUAGGAUGUGGCAUUGAUUCUCGCUGGUGCCAGUAGUAGUGUCCACUGGAGUAGGAAGCACCUGCCCCAGAGCAGCAGUGACGUAAUCAGAACUGAGACAUGUGCCGAGGAGAAACUGACCACGGUGGGGAAAGUUCCAGUCCUCCCUGGCCAGGUGCAAGAGAAAGGGACUUCCUCACAAUCCCACUGAGACAGAGAAGGCCUUCCAGUAAUCGAUGGCUUAGUGUCAGACCUUGACACUGGGCUUCUCCGUAUUGUAUCUUAUUCCCAUUUUACUACA